UUUUAGCCCUGAUGGAAGCGACAUCCUUUUGUGUCUCGUUUUUUUAACGAGACGCAAAAGAUAUAGCGUACAGCAGGAAACAGC
rnacentral:sRNA from 1 species